rnacentral:rRNA from 1 species
UACAGAGGGUGCAAGCGUUAAUCGGAAUUACUGGGCGUAAAGCGUGCGUAGACGGUUGCGUAAGUCAGAUGUGAAAUCCCCGGGCUCAACCUGGGAACUGCAUCCGAAACUGCCUUGCUCGAGUAUGGGAGAGGGAAGUGGAAUUUCCGGUGUAGCGGUGAAAUGCGUAGAUAUCGGAAGGAACAUCAGUGGCGAAGGCGACUUCCUGGACCAAUACUGACGCUCAGGUGCGAAAGCGUGGGGAGCAAACAGG